CCUACGGGUGGCAGCAGUGAGGAAUAUUGGUCAAUGGCCGAGAGUCUGAACCAGCCAAGUCGCGUGAAGGAUGACUGCCCUAUGGGUUGUACACUUCUUUUAUCAAGGAAUAAAAAGCGGCACGCGUGCCUUUUUGCAUGUACUUUAUGAAUAAGGAUCGGCUAACUCCGUGCCAGCAGCCGCGGUAAUACGGAGGAUCCGAGCGUUAUCCGGAUUUAUUGGGUUUAAAGGGAGCGGAGAUGGGUUGUUAAGUCAGUUGUUAAAGUUUGCGGCUCAACCGUAAUAUUGCAAUUGAUACUGGCUGUCUUGAGUACAGGUGAGGUAGGCGGAAUUCGUGGUGUAGCGGUGAAAUGCUUAGAUAUCACGAAGAACCCCGAUUGCGAAGGCAGCGUACUAAACUGUUACUGACAUUGAUGCUCGAAAGUGUGGGUAUCAAACAGGAUUAGAUACCCCAGUAGUC
rnacentral:rRNA from 1 species